CUCUGGAGAAGGAACUCGGCAAAUUGACACCGUAACUUCGGAAGAAGGUGUGCCUUUAGUAGGUGAACCAUUUACUUGGGGAGCCCAAUGAGGCCGCAGAGAAUCGGUGGCUGCAACUGUUUAUUAAAAACACAGCACUCUGCAAAGACGAAAGUCGACGUAUAGGGUGUGACUCCUGCCCGGUGCUGGAAGAUUAAAUGAUGGGGUGCAAGCUCUUGACUGAAGUCCCAGUAAACGGCGGCCGUAACGAUAACGGUCCUAAGGUAGCGAAAUUCCUUGUCGGGUAAGUUCCGACCUGCACGAAUGGAGUAAUGAUGGCCACACUGUCUCCUCCAGAGACUCAGCGAAGUUGAAAUGUUUGUGAUGAUGCAAUCUCCCCGCGGAAAGACGGAAAGACCCCAUGAACCUUUACUGUAGCUUUACAUUGGACUUUGAACAGAUCUGUGUAGGAUAGGUGGGAGGCUUUGAAGAGUGGACGCUAGUUUGCUUGGAGCCAACGUUGAAAUACCACCCUGGUGUGUUUGAGGUUCUAACCUUGGUCCCUUAUCGGGAUUGGGGACAGUGUAUGGUGGGCAGUUUGACUGGGGCGGUCUCCUCCCAAAGUGUAGCGGAGGAGUUCGAAGGUACGCUAAAUACGGUCGGAAAUCGUGUUGAUAGUGCAUUGGCAUAAGCGUGCUUGACUGCGAGACUGACAAGUCGAGCAGGUACGAAAGUAGGACAAAGUGAUCCGGUGGUUCUGUAUGGAAGGGCCAUCGUUCAACGGAUAAAAGGUACUCUGGGGAUAACAGGCUGAUACCGCCCAAGAGUUCAUAUCGACGGCGGUGUUUGGCACCUCGAUGUCGGCUCAUCUCAUCCUGGGGCUGUAGCCGGUCCCAAGGGUAUGGCUGUUCGCCAUUUAAAGAGGUACGUGAGCUGGGUUUAAAACGUCGUGAGACAGUUUGGUCCCUAUCUUCCGUGGGCGCUGCAAGAUUGAGAGAGCCUGCUCCUAGUACGAGAGGACCGGAGUGGACGCACCUCUGGUGUAUCGGUUGUCACGCCAGUGGCAUCGCCGAGUAGCUAAGUGCGGAAGAGAUAACCGCUGAAAGCAUCUAAGCGGGAAACUCGUCUCAAGAUGAGUCUUGCCGGGGCCUAGAGCCCCCUGAAGGGUCGUUCGAGACCAGGACGUUGAUAGGCUGGGUGUGGAGGCGCGGUAACGCGUUAAGCUAACCAGUACUAAUUGCCCGUGAGGCUUGACCCU
rnacentral:rRNA from 1 species